AGUCAGGUUGCACGUCAUAUAAUUCUCGGAUGCCACGGAGAUAUUGAAAAUGGCGGAGCGGUGAAAAAUUCAAAAGCAGCACAGGGCCCCGUAGCGAAAAAAGGACGGGUCUGGAGUACUAAAUCGAAGGAAACGAGAAUAAUGACAUUAUUUAAGAAAGGAACAAAUUAUGAUUCUGGAAAUUACAGAUCGGAGUUUUAUGAUACAUGAAACCCUCUGAAGCCAAAGGCUUGUACCCGGAUGAAACUUGAUCUCCUUCAACAUGUGGAGUCUGUUCAUUUUCUUGAAGUAUUAUCUCAACAAAUGAUUUUUAUGCAUUUAGAGCAACCAGCUCUGUGGAAC